rnacentral:lncRNA from 1 species
UCGAAACAAAGCAUACUCACACGAAAGCAAGUCCAGAGAUUACAACAAUCCAGAUAGAUUAAUACAGGUCCCAAUUAAGUUAUUACAAGCCAAGAGUUCAAAAGCAUAAAAGUAAAGUUUUCAAAGUUCAAAGUAGCGGAUAUAAAACAAUACAACUAACAAACAUACGGAAUAGCAUGGCGAAGCCAGCCAUGAUAUCAAUCACCACAUUCCUCACCAUCCUGGGUUCCACUCGAC